rnacentral:tRNA from 1 species
GCGGGCGUGGCGAAAUUGGUAGACGCAAUGGAUUUAGGUUCCAGCGGCGCAAGCUGUGGGGUUCGAGUCCCUCCGCCCGCA